rnacentral:rRNA from 1 species
CCUACGGGAGGCAGCAGUGAGGAAUAUUGGUCAAUGGGCGCUAGCCUGAACCAGCCAAGUAGCGUGAAGGAUGACUGCCCUAUGGGUUGUAAACUUCUUUUAUAUGGGAAUAAAGUGCAGCAUGUAUACUGCUUUGCAUGUACCUUAUGAAUAAGGAUCGGCUAACUCCGUGCCAGCAGCCGCGGUAAUACGGAGGAUUCGAGCGUUAUCCGGAUUUAUUGGGUUUAAAGGGAGCGUAGACGGGUUGUUAAGUCAGUUGUGAAAGUUUGCGGCUCAACCGUAAAAUUGCAGUUGAUACUGGCAGCCUUGAGUACAGUAGAGGUAGGCGGAAUUCGUGGUGUAGCGGUGAAAUGCUUAGAUAUCACGAAGAACUCCGAUUGCGAAGGCAGCCUGCUGGACUGUAACUGACGCUGAUGCUCGAAAGUGUGGGUAUCAAACAGGAUUAGAUACCCUGGUAGUC